GAAAAAAGAUAAUCAAUAAUAAAAUUUUACAUUUAGCUGCAAGGAACAAAGCUGCAGGAAAGUCUAAAGAGGAACACAUACGAGAGAAGAAGCAAGAGCUUGAGAAGCGCUUGCAAGAUGUUAGUGGUCAAUUAGGCCAGCCUCCCAAAAAGUCUAAUAAAAAGGAUGCUGAAAACGCUAAUUCAGAAGUUGCUGGUGGUCCGAGUCGCCUUAGUGCCAGUAGCAGCAGCUCUAGUGAAAGUGACAGCAGUACUACCAGCAGUUCAAGUAGUUCUUCAGAUACGAGUGAUUCAGAAUGAACUCUCUUCAACUACUUACUUUAUGUACCAAAUCUGGCCUUAGGACACAGAGGAUUGAUGAAGCACAAAUACGUGAAAGAAGAUAGCUUGACAUUUGUUAUGGGCAUCCUUAAUUGGAAAUUUGCGUUGUUAGCAAAUGUCUUUACAUGAACUUUUUUUCUCCUGUCAAGUUAAUUGGGAUUCCGAAGUUGUACUUUACAAUUUUAUACACAGUGUGAUCUCCUGGAUAUCUUGCAGUUUUGCUUAAUUAUAUACAUUUUUGCUGGGCCUGAUGGCUUUUGCCAAAAUACUUCUUAGUGUGGGUGCUUCGAGUCUUCUGGCACAUGUUAUGUGAUGCGUAACUCUGAGGUCAGUGUAACAUAACUUAUUCCACCAUUUGCAAAAGCCAAGAGACAUUAUAGUGAUGUUCAUUUGUAAAUAUUAAAUAAUCAUGAAGCUCUCAUGUCAUUCAUCCCUAUAAACAACUUAGCCUUGGCUCUUGAGUACCAUUGUAAAUCUACCAUAAUCACAUUAUCAAUGUAUAUUUCAUUUUCGAAAACUGUAAAAAAUUCUGAAAUCGUGAAGCAUCUAUGUGAAACUUGAAUGUUUUCACUUUUUGUCUGUCAGUCUAAUUUUUGUCUGUGUAGUUAAAUUAACUUUUACCACUCUGAGCUGUGAAGCAUCACUGGACAUGUUUCUGUCCUGCAUUACCUCAGGAUAUUUUUAAGUGCAUAACUAUUUAAAUUGCAAGUCAUUUGAACUGGUUUGAUGUUACAGCUUGUAUGAUAACCUCAAAAUCAAAAUUAAUUGUGUCUCCAGUCUGUAUUACAUAUCCGAUUCUUAAAUUGGUAAAGGAAGGUAAUUAUUGGCCACUGAUAUUUAAAUUGUUAUGCUUGAGAAUAAUUUAAAAGACAGUAUUUUUUUUUUUUUUUUUUUUUUUUUUCCAUUUUUGAAUUCAAAAUACCCUGAAGUUGUUUUGGUGUCUUUCCAUGUCAGUGUGGCAAGCAAUUACUUUAUUAAUGUAGUCUAAAUGUGGAUAUUUAAAUCUGUAUAUUUUAUGUAGGAAAAAUCAGUUUAAGGAUUACAUUUUACUAAGUUAAUGCUGCAAUUUUGUGCAUACGCAUUGUACAAAAAGCUUGUGGGGAAAGGUUUAUUUAAUACAAAAAACUUCUUGUGGGAAAAAAAUUAUGGCAUGUAUUUUUCACUUAAAAAUAAUAUACAUGAUGCUUUUGCUUCAAACACAUCGACAGAUGAAAAUUAUUAAAUUUAUUGAGUUUGGCUUAUACAUAGAUGUGAUAAAUUUGUUUAAUUCAGUACAAAUUAAGCAUGCAAAGUGAAAUAAAGUCAUUGCAAAAUA